rnacentral:rRNA from 1 species
UACAGAGGUCUCGAGCGUUGUUCGGAUUCAUUGGGCGUAAAGGGUGCGUAGGUGGCGCUGUAAGUCGGGGGUGAAAUCCUGAGGCUUAACCUCGGAACUGCAUUCGAUACUGCGGUGCUUGAGGACUGGAGAGGAGACUGGAAUUCAUGGUGUAGCAGUGAAAUGCGUAGAGAUCAUGAGGAAGACCAGUGGCGAAGGCGGGUCUCUGGACAGUUCCUGACACUGAGGCACGAAGGCCAGGGGAGCAAACGGG